rnacentral:lncRNA from 10 species
UUCUGAAUGUUUUUCCCUCAGAGAGGAUCAAAGAACACUGCUGCUAGUGUCUGAAAUUUUGAUGAUCACGUAGGAUUCCAGAACUCUCCUGCUGUGGUCUGUAUGUUUGUCUCUCACAUAGGAUUCCAGAACACUGCUACGAGGGUCUGAAUGUUUGUCCCUCACAAAGGAUUCUAGAACACUGCUGCUGGGUUCUGAGUGAUUGUCCCUCACAUAGGAUUCCAGAACACUGCUGCUGGGUUCUGAGUGUUUGUCCCUCACAUAGGAUUCCAGAACACUGCUACAAGGGUCUGAAUGUUUAUCCCUCACAAAGGGUUCCAGAACACUGUUACUGGAUUCUGAGUGUUUGUCCCUCAUAUUGGAUUCCAGAACAAUGCUACGAGGGUCUGAAUAUUUUUCCCUCACAUAGGAUUCGAAAACACUCUUACGAGGGUGUGAAUGUUUUUCCCUCCCAAAGGAAUCCAGAACACUGCUGCUGGGCUCUGAAUGUUUGUCCCUCAUAUAGGAUUCCAGAACACUGCUACGAGGAUCUGAAUGUUUUCCCUUACAAAGGAUUGUAGAACACUGCUACUGGGUUCUGUUUAUUUGCCCCUCACAAAGGAUUCCAGAGCACUGCUGCAUAUUUCUUAGUGUUUGCCCCUCACAUAGGAUUCCAGAACACUUCUCCAAGGUUCUGAAUGUUUGCCCUCAGAUAGGAUUCCAGUACACUGGCUGGAUUCUGAGUGUUUGUCCCUCACAUAGGAUUCCAGAUCACUGCUACAGGUUCUGAAUGUUUGUCCCUCACAAAGGAUUCUAGAACACUGCUACUGGUUUCUGAGUGUUUGUCCCUCACAAAGGAUUCUAGAACAUGGCUUCUGGGUUCUGUGUGUUUGUCCCUCACAUAGGAUGCCAAAACACUGAUGCUGGGUUCUGAGUGUUUGUCCCUCACAUAGCAUUCCAGAACACUGCUGCUGGCUUCUGAGUGUUUGUCCCUCACAUACAAUUCCAGAACACUGCUACGAAGUUCUGAAGGUUUGUCGCUGACAUAGGAUUCCAGAACAGAGCUGCUGUGUCCUGAUUGCUUGUCUCUCACAAAGGAUUCCAGAACACUGAUGCUGGGUUCUGAGUGUUCGUCUAUCACAUAGGAUUCCAGAAC